UGGAAUGUGACAUCACAUGAAAACUAUGAAUUGAACACAUCUUUUACAUUCUAGAAUCAUUACUAACAUUACCUCGACUGUAAGGGUGUUCAGGAGGUGAUGUAAUUUUAAUGUCCUCCUCAUCAUCACUAUCUGUUAUGGUGAGUGGUCUCGCUCUCCCUUUCCCUUCUGUUUUGUCUGUCUUCUCUGUGUCUGGCCAUGGCACUCAGGCUCUCCUCUACCAAUCCUCUCUGCACCUAUGAUCACGAUGCUUGAGAGCCCCCCAAGGAACCCAUAGGAUUACCAAAACUCUCCAUGGAACUGAACUUUCUCUGUGAUAUCGGGGUCGAUCCUACAAAUUACUAAAGCGACUUAGUGUUUCAUCAUAAGUAGGAUCUUACUUUAAUAUAGGCCCAAUUCUUGAUAAGAAGUUAUUCUUGAUAGCGUGUCAGCUGCUAAUCAGUGCUAACUCGACCAACAAGCCAAUAAUCAUAAAUACAUAAAUACACCUGUUUACACAAAUUAACAAGCUAAAUGACAUCCAGACAUUUCCUCGUGGGUAGGAUAAGUCCAAAACUCUGCUGGCUAAGACAAACCAGCUACCCCUCCUGUCCUGGAGGAGGAGGAGGACAUGAGCACCAAAAUGGACACAAUAGAGCAAGGUUUGCCACCCUGCUACCAAGGACCAGCAGCAGGGGUGUUUGCCUACCAAAAAGCCUCUGCUUUCACCCAGUAAGAUGUGCACAUCUCCUUAUCCACAUUCUCCAUUAUCCAUAUUCAAAGAUGCAGUACAAUCAAUCCAGCUACCAAUAUGGUUUGGCCUUCUGAGGGCACACCACAUGACUGUGCAAAACAAAGCAGUCUCAUUGUGCAUGACCAGACAUGUACCUAUUGAUGCACACAUGACAUUGUUUGUUGACAGCUCGUGUUUUCGAGACUUAACAGACAAGGAUAUGGUACUGCACAGCUAAAUUUAGCUGAUCAGACGCAGAUGCAUCAGAUGCAGAUGCAAAUUCAAGGUGUAGAUAAAAGUGCUAACAGCAGGUUAACAUCUACAGACUCUGCAUACUCCUAUGCAUACUCCUGUUUGCCACAUCUAUGGUAAUAUAUAGAAGCAGUGUGGGUUUCAAACAGCUGAUGGGACUAUCACCCACAGGGCAGCAAUUUCACAGUUGAUGGCAGCCAUGCAUCUACCUGAUGUAGUGAGCAACAUCAUUAACAGUGGUUCGGAUAAGAUUCUAAUUAUUCUAUGUGUCAUUGCUUCCAUAUUAUUUCUUCUUCUGUUUAUUAAAAGCACAGUAACUAGAGUAA